rnacentral:rRNA from 1 species
UACGGAGGGUGCGAGCGUUGUCCGGAAUCACUGGGCGUAAAGGGCGCGUAGGCGGUUGCGUAAGUCAUCUGUGAAAUCCCGGAGCUCAACUCCGGGGCUGCAGGUGAGACUGCGUGACUAGAGCACAGUAGAGGCGAGUGGAAUUCCCGGUGUAGCGGUGGAAUGCGUAGAUAUCGGGAAGAACACCGGUGGCGAAGGCGGCUCGCUGGGCUAACACUGACGCUCAGGCACGAAAGCGUGGGGAGCAAACAGG